AGUCAAUAAGUUUAGGGCAAACCUUAUACCUUGAAAGUAUAAUAUGAAAGUUGGAAUCUUUCAUUGACUU
rnacentral:tRNA from 1 species